rnacentral:rRNA from 1 species
UAGGGAAUCUUCCACAAUGGACGAAAGUCUGAUGGAGCAACGCCGCGUGAGUGAUGAAGGGUUUCGGCUCGUAAAACUCUGUUGUUGGAGAAGAACGGGUGUCAGAGUAACUGUUGACAUCGUGACGGUAUCCAACCAGAAAGCCACGGCUAACUACGUGCCAGCAGCCGCGGUAAUACGUAGGUGGCAAGCGUUGUCCGGAUUUAUUGGGCGUAAAGCGAGCGCAGGCGGUUUUUUAGGUCUGAUGUGAAAGCCUUCGGCUUAACCGGAGAAGUGCAUCGGAAACCGGGAGACUUGAGUGCAGAAGAGGACAGUGGAACUCCAUGUGUAGCGGUGAAAUGCGUAGAUAUAUGGAAGAACACCAGUGGCGAAGGCGGCUGUCUGGUCUGCAACUGACGCUGAGGCUCGAAAGCAUGGGUAGCGAACAGGAUUAGAUACCCUGGUAGUCCAUGCCGUAAACGACGAGUGCUAAGUGUUGGAGGGGUUUUCCGCCCUUCAGUGCUGCAGUUAACGCAUUAAGCACUCCGCCUGGGGGAGUACGACCGCAAGGUUGAAAC